rnacentral:rRNA from 1 species
GUGAAGUCGGAAUCGCUAGUAAUCGUGAAUCAGAACGUCACGGUGAAUACGUUCCCGGGCCUUGUACACACCGCCCGUCACACCAUGGGAGUGGGUUGCUCCAGAAGUAGCUAGUCUAACCUUCGGGAGGACGGUUACCACGGAGUGAUUCAUGACUGGGGUGAAGUCGUAACAAGGUAGCCGUAGGGGAACCUGCGGCUGGAUCACCUCCUUAAUCGAAGAU